GGGGUAUGGUUCAGUGCUUAGCUGUGGGUGCCUGUUUCUGCUUCGAACUGGAUGAAGGCUCUAGGAAUGGUAACCAAGGUGGAGAGCAUCCUGAGGAAGGAGCGCUUCCUGUCUCCUUACCGGAACCCUGCCUGCAUGACCUAUCACCUCCCUCCUCAUCUCCCAAUACCAGCACACUGGGAGACAGGAUUUCAGCAGAGGAAGUUUCUGGGGACAUAAAUAGUCAUUCCUUUUCAGCACUCCCUCAGUCUGAACAGCUCAUAAAACCCCAAGAAGCCUUUACUUUCCCUUCUCCAGCAUAAUCUACCAUAACAUCUAUUCCCUGAAGAGCCAGGGCUUUUGUAUCAAUUAGGUAGGAAGGAUGCUGUCUUUUCCGCAUGGCAAAUUUGCCUUUGCUCAAAAGCAAAGAUGCAGCUGCUGUCUUGACCUUGGCACGGGAAGCCAAACACAAAGUGGGGGAAAUGGCACAUAUCCACAGAUAUCAUAUCCUGGCUACUGCUGCUUGCAAACUGUGUGGCUUAAGAUGUGGGGAUGAUGUGAACAUCUGCCUUCGGACUUCUUAGGGUUAUUCUGAGUAUUAAGUGUGUCAGACAGAGUCAGAGCUGUUUGGAACAGGGCUACAGGAGUGCUAACUGUUGCUCUGAGCUGCUAAUGCUGCCGCUUUUGCUUUGCACUCUGCACAGUGAGAUUCGUCACCUGCGGAGCCUCUGAAGCCAGUACUUAGGGUAAGCAUCUUGUGUAGCCAGAAUCACCUCUGAAUUCUGUUGGAGGCUCACCAUCAUAUUUCUUAAUAAGUCCGACCCAGGCAGUUUUCCUGCCAGCAUUAAAUCCAAUUGUGCUGUCAUGGUUUGAGCACUAGAUGAAGGGGCUGCCUGCAGAUUUAUGCCCCCACUCACAGCGCACCUGGGACAGGCACUCCUUUAGUGAAAAACUGCAGAAUCAUCCACACCAUUUAAUUUAUUCUCCCUGUCCCUUUCUCUUAGUUAAACUCAUAUAAGUUAAAGUGGAAUGGGCUUCCCAAAGCCAAAAGUUCACCCUAGACUGAGAAUCGCUGGGUAGGAAAUCGAAGUCUCUUAUAUUCCAUAGGCCUUUUAUGGUGAUGGGCUUUUUCUAUUCCGUGGGUCCUCCAUAGUGGUGGUUUCGGACACAUAUGUGAGUGAAAGUUCAAAGUUCAAAACACAUCAAUGAUGCCCAUGAAGACAAAUCAUGUUUCUCCACUCACAUAAAAUAAUAAUAAACAGUUG
rnacentral:lncRNA from 1 species